UAUUUUACACACGGUUUGGUCACUCGUUAUGGUCCGCAAUCAGUUGCCAGCGCAAGUGAUUAAAAGGCACGAGGGAUGCAUCGUGAAAACCCGCAUACCGUUUGAAAUGUUUGAAAUUCAGCUAGCGGCGGCCGUUUUUGCGACCUUCUUCGUAUCUAGUUUCGCCUAAAUGAGGCGCCAUGCCAAGGAUCAUUGACUCGCGCCUAACUGUACACGCGUUGAGAUAACACCUCGCCAUUCAGGAAGAGGAUCCUUGCCAGUCGCGUCCUAUAUAUCAACUAUGUACAUACAUAUGUAUGUAUACAUAUGUAUACUUGCUACGUGACCUCUAUUUUGUCAGGAAGAUUCCUAUGCGUGGAAAUAUCGAUGAGUAUUUUGUCACGACAUUUUAAAUAAUUUUAAUAUGACUGAAAAUUUUACUAUUUCUCCAAACUUUUCAGGCGUUCUAUAUCAACUAUGUAUGUAUGUAUACUACGUGACCUUCAUUUUGUCAGGACGAUUCCUGUGCGUGGAAAUAUCGACGAGUAUUUUGUCACAACAUUUUAAAUAAUUUUACUAUGACGAGAGAUCCCUUACGAUGAAUUCUGUUUUCUUGCUCGUCACGUACGCUAAAUGAAUCAAAUACGAGGCCGGAAGUGGAACGCCGGAAGCAAACGGAACAUCUGAACCGAUAAGGAACGCGCGGCCGAAGAACGGUACACGACGGUACACGUGAUGUAUCGAUCGUUUCGAUUGUUUCCCCUGGUCGAACGACGGGAACAACAUCCACCGUUGUUCUCAUUUCUCGAGAAUUUCUCAGUACUUUCUACUCGCCGACGAGUUUCGUUCCUCGACUGCAUUCGCAGUUACAAUAGCACUUGAUACAUCGCCACCGAUAACGAGCAAAAAUAGCAGCUUGAAGAAUGGUAAGAGAUCUCUGCCGAAGGUCCUUCGAUUUUUACUUUACCAAGCGACGACGCGAAACCCGCGUGAAACCCGACACUUCCGGACAAACUGGAAUUCGCUGGAAUUCCGUUACACCGUGGCAAAUGUUUAGGAAAUGUCUGUCUGCGUUUCUCGUCGUGGGAAAAUGCGGGCCUUUUCGAGUAACGAGCUCGUAGAGUAUUCAGGCUCCAAUCAGGAGGAAUGCGUGAACGUAUAUACAUAAGCGUUGACGAGGGCCACCUAACAUGGAGGAGAUCUAACAGUAAAUUCUGGUAUUCAUUGAUGGGCAUUCGUGCGAAUCAGCGCCCUGUCUAAUCCCCGUAUCGUUUCAAUAUUUAUUCCCCGUUAUUUCAUCAAGGAAGACACUUGAAAUUCUUCAAAGAGUUGAAAAUUCGUAUAAUUCAAAGUCUUCUCGAAUUUGGGCAUGAUAGGUAUGAACGCAUAAUUACGAAUAGCAAGGUGUAAAUGCCAGGUGCAGCAUGUUGAUUCAGUCGUGGAUGUUACGUCAUUGUCAUUGUCUCAAUGCUCUCAUACACGUAGUACCACGAAUUCUUGAAUCGUAUAAGUAUUUACCGACGACGUGUUUUCACAUCGACAGUUUUACAUUUUAAUUUACACUUAAGUGUAACUCGUAAAGUUUUCAACUAGAAAUCUUUUAGAGCCUUAAGUUUGAAAGUCAGGUGGAAUCCUUACUGAUCUCAGAUCCUGAUUCUCGCACAAUUCAUUAUAAAGCUGCAUCACUUUGUUCAUUCAAAGCUGAACUUACUUUAAGUUACUAGCUUAAUUGAUACAGUGAUUCCCAAUCUUUUUUUGGUCAUUCUCUAAACUCCUGAUAUCCCACCUCUGUGACACAAUUCUUAUUAUUGAAAAAGUGAUAUCAUUGACGUGGCGGAAGUUUAAAAGCCCAUUAACUUCAAGGUCUGAACAAGCUUCUAAAGAACAUGACAGAAAAUAAUAAAAGAACGAAAGAACAGUUGAAGAAAUCACUAAGAAAUUGUU